GCUGUGAUGGCCGAGUGGUUAAGGCGUUGGACGCGAAAUCCAAUGGGGUAUAUCCCCGCGCAGGUUCAAACCCUGUCACAGCG